GAUGGAGGCAGAGCAGAGGGGCCGGUUCUGAUGCCCAGCUCUGGCAGCCGCAGGACGCGGAGCAGGGAGGCUCGGAGGAGGGCGUACGGCCAUUCCUAGGCGCCAUCAAACCACCGGGACUGGCUCCAGCCAGGGGAGCAGGAUGAGACUGCAAGGAGCCACAGCUGGACCUCCUGGAACUCAGAUAUCCAGAAGAAAAAAUGCUGAGAGCCAUGCUUCCAGGCAAUGACAUCAAAAUAUGGAUUAUGUAUGUAUAGAUAUGCAGGAAUAGAGGCCAUGCUUUCCUGCAGGAUUCUGUUCCAAUGCAAUUGGAAUGAAGAGCCUACUGUGGACCAUCCCAUGACCUGUCUCGUCAUUCUGCUCAGCUCCACACUUCUUUCCCUACACAGGAAGAAAAUAGCACAUGACAUUUCAAGAACACUCAUGCACCGUGAGUUGACUUCAGAUGAGGUUCUAGCAGCCUUUUUGCAGUGGCACUAUGCAAUUUAGUAGGGCUUAUUGUAUAAGCUGGAGGACAUCACCAACCCCAUGAAACCACCUGGCUUCUGGAUUAGAGCAUAUUCACCUUGAGGUGCAGGUGGAGUGAACACAAAACUCUUGGUAGUGGCCACCACACCAGCUCCAGUGGUGAUGUCAGCACAAGGAUUGAGGACACUGUGCCUAGUCUGAA